rnacentral:rRNA from 1 species
UACGUAGGGGCCAAGCGUUGUCCGGAUUUAUUGGGCGUAAAGAGCUCGUAGGCGGUUGGGUAAGUCGGGUGUGAAAACUCCAGGCUCAACUUGGAGAUGCCACCCGAUACUGCUCUGACUUGAGUUCGGUAGGGGAGUGGGGAAUUCCUGGUGUAGCGGUGAAAUGCGCAGAUAUCAGGAGGAACACCGGUGGCGAAGGCGCCACUCUGGGCCGAAACUGACGCUGAGGCGCGACAGCGUGGGGAGCAACGG